CAGUCGCCGCGGUAAUACGAGGGGGGCUAGCGUUGCUCGGAAUCACUGGGCGUAAAGGGUGCGUAGGCGGGUCUUUAAGUCAGGGGUGAAAUCCUGGAGCUCAACUCCAGAACUGCCUUUGAUACUGAAGAUCUUGAGUUCGGGAGAGGUGAGUGGAACUGCGAGUGUAGAGGUGAAAUUCGUAGAUAUUCGCAAGAACACCAGUGGCGAAGGCGGCUCACUGGCCCGAUACUGACGCUGAGGCACGAAAGCGUGGGGAGCAAACAGGAUUAGAUACCCCUGUAGUCCCUGUCUCUUAUAC
rnacentral:rRNA from 1 species